CAGCAGCCGCGGUAAUACGGAGGGGGCUAGCGUUGUUCGGAAUUACUGGGCGUAAAGCGCACGUAGGCGGACCGGAAAGUCAGAGGUGAAAUCCCAGGGCUCAACCUUGGAACUGCCUUUGAAACUCCUGGUCUUGAGGUCGAGAGAGGUGAGUGGAAUUCCGAGUGUAGAGGUGAAAUUCGUAGAUAUUCGGAGGAACACCAGUGGCGAGGGCGGCUCACUGGCUCGAUACUGACGCUGAGGUGCGAAAGCGUGGGGAGCAAACAGGAUUAGAUACCCCGGUAGUCCCUGUCUCUUAUAC
rnacentral:rRNA from 1 species